rnacentral:lncRNA from 1 species
GGCGGCCGUGGGCACCCCAAGGUGCUGCAGGGCCGACGUCCCGCCCCCUCCCCGGGGCCCGUCGCGGCCAUCUUCGCUCCCCCCGCCCCCUCCGCUGCAGCCGCUGCAGCAUCUGCAGCGGCAGCAGGGUCUGCCGCGGCAGCCUCGGCGGCGGCGGCGGCCCCGGGCCGUGAUGUCAUCAUCCGGCCCAGCCCCCUCCCCCCGCACCCCGACAGCUGCGGGAGGCCGAAAACUUGGGGCUCCAUCGUGGUGGGCGGCCCGUUUCCACGGGGGGCGGCGGGGCGAGGGUCGGGGGCGGUCUGCCGCCGGCGGCCCCGGGGCCAUGCCUCCGGCCGCGCCAGGGAAACCGGGCUCCCCGGACGCCGGGCUCCCCAGCGCCGGGCCGCCCUGCCGGGGGGCGGGGGCGGGAGGGGCGGGCGGGGGCGGGGGCACACAAACCCCGGCCGCCGCCGCCGCCUCCUCCCGGACGGACGUCUGCUGACUCACCGAUUGAGCGCCCCGCAUCCCUCAAUCACCGAGCGCGCACGGCCCGGACGGCCCGGCCGGGAGAGAGAGACAGAGACAGGGACAGAGAUAGAGAUAGAGACAGAGGGCGGGCGGCCGGGCGGCCGGGCGGGAAAGAGGGUGGGCGGCCUCCCUCCCGCAAGGACCGGCUUCCCUCCCCCAAGGACCGACCUCCCUCCACCCAGGACCGGCCUCCCUCCCGCAAGGACCGGCCUCCCUCCCGCAAGGACCGACCUCCCUCCACCCAGGACCGGCCUCCCUCCCGCAAGGACCGGCCUCCCUCCCCCAAGGACCGACCUCCCUCCACCCAGGACCGGCCUCCCUCCCGCAAGGACCGGCCUCCCUCUCCCAAGGACCGGCCUCCCUCCCGCAAGGACCGGCCUCCCCCUGCACCGGCGGCGGGGCAAUGCCGCCGCCGCCGUCGCUCCCGCCCGGCCGGGCCUGAGCGGGUCUCUGUGUGUGCCUGCCUCGGCGGGAGCGAGACGGAGCCGUCCCCCAGCCCGGCUUAGCUCCGCACCCCCCGCCUGCUGCCCCUUCCCACGCCCUCCCCUCCCCCUUUGA